rnacentral:rRNA from 1 species
AUGAAGUAUUUAAAGGAGCUUAAAGAAUUCCAUGUCAAGAAAGAGAGUGAUGGAUUUGAAUUAAGUGAGUUGGGGGAUUUAGCAGAGCUUGGAGGAGAACUCAGUAUAUAUAAUCUUGGAAAUGUGGCAACCAAGGAAGAGGCCAGGAAAGCCAAGCUUGUGUCAAAAGGUGAUUUGAAAGAGUUGAGGUUGGUUUGGGGAGAAUUGGAUGCAUCAGAAUCAUCUGAUGGUGCAUCGGAAUCAUCUGAUGCCCUUGAUGGUCCAACAGAAUCAUCUGGUGCCCUUGAUGGUACAGCAGAAUUAUCUGAUGUUCUUGAUGGUCUUGAGCCACAUCCUAAUCUGCAAUCACUUGGCAUUAUAAACCAUGGUGGUUCAGUCGGUCCUCAUUGGUUGUGUGAUCACAUGAGCAUAAAGAUGCUUGUGUCUCUCCACCUAGAGGGUGUGUCUUGGUCCAUUCUUCCACCUUUUGGGCAGUUAUUGCAUCUCAGAUCACUCACAUUGAUUCACAUUUCUACACUUGUUCAGAUCAGGCCAGGCGUUGUUGGGGUUACGGCCAGAAGUUUUACGCAGUUGAAGGAGAUUGUUCUUGAUUCUUUGUCAGAAUUUACUGAGUGGGUUGGGACAUCUAAUGCCCAUUCAUUUUCAAUGCUUGAAAGAAUUGUUUGCAGAAAAUGUCCCAAUCUCUAUUCACUGCCGUUCCUACAGGAUUGCCCUGCGGGCUCAUAUAACCAUCUGUGGAAACUUGAAAUUACUGGUUGCCCAAAGUUGCUUAUGCCCCUCAUGCCUCACAGUUCCACACUAACUGAAGUUACUGUGUCUACUAGCCGUACUGGGGAUAUGGUGUACGCCAACCGUAAUUUGUAUUUGACGAGGUAUAGCAGGGAAUUAGCCUGGCACAAUAUGGCCGGCAAAGUACAGAGCAUCACAUUUAAAGCUGGAUCAACAAUCCCAUGGAUAGUCCUCCAAAAUUUAACCUCCCUCAAGAAACUUGAAAUUGAAGGAGACUCAAGCCAGCAGUCGAUGGCUUCGGUCUCAUACCUCACGUCUCUCACCAAUCUAAGAAUACAAGAUUGUAAGAAUUUCAAAGUGGGUGGGUUCAAUCUUCUCAUGGCUUCCAACCUCAAGAUUUUGGCGGUCCACAACAUAAUUGAAUAUUACCCUCGCUCUGUAGCCGCAGAUCUUCUCUCGGAAUUGGCGGUGGAAAUAACAAGGAGUAAAAAGUUAUUACCACCUGCAGCUGGCUCUUUACUCCAGUUGGAAAGACUUAAUGUGGAUAGCAUCUCGGCUGUGCUUGUUGCUCCAGUUUGUCGACUACUCGCUGCUACCCUCAAGGAGUUAGUGAUCACGUGUGAUCGAGAGGUGGAGAACCUCACCAAAGAUGAAGAGAAAGCGCUUCAGCUCCUCACCUCACUCCAAGAACUAAUUUUUUGGAGGUGCCGGCGUCUGCGGUCCUUCCCUCAAGGGUUACACGGCCUUCCUUGUCUCAGGACACUAAAAGCCAUCAGCUGUCGAAAAAUCCGAUCGCUGCCCAAGAAGGGAAUCCCCACUUCUCUGCGGGAGCUAUCAAUAAAUGAUUGCAGUCGCAAGCUACACAAUCAAGCCAAGAAACUAAAUCAAAGAAAUUUGUCUGUAAGCGCCUAG